AGGAGUGAUUUCUGAAAUUGUUUAGUGCAGUGAGGAAAAGACAGUGGGAUAUUACAAUGGAGAGACGCUGGGCAUUGUGCAGCAAGACGGAGAAGUCAGGGAGGGCUGAGCUGGAUGGAAGUGGUGGGAAGGAGCCAGCCUGCAGAGAAGCAGAGCGUGUGCUCUGGCAGAGGGAGUGGCAGGGCAAAGGCCCUGGGCAGGAGCAGGGUCAGGGUCACAGCUGUGUGGCUGGAGUUCAGUGGGCCAGGGGGAGAGUGAUGGAAGGCAAGGUCAAGGUGGGCUGGGGCCAAACCCUGCAGUGCUUUGUCAGCCAUGGCAAGGAUUUGGGGUUUUAUUCUAAGUGCAUCUCAGAGUGCCGGCAUCUUUAUCUUGGGGUGAUGUUGGCAUAUUCCCACCAGGAUAAAUUAACAUUCUCACCUUAACAGAUCAUUGGGUAGAGACUAGAAAUGUACCGAGCAGUGCGCAAAGAAGAUGAGGAGGGUUCUACAGUUUCUCCAGAUACAUACCAUGACAAUUUGUUUUUUUAAAAAAGAAGAAAGCCUGCAGGUAAGUACAGCCGAAAGUAAAGAGGGCCACAGUAGAGGAGGGAACAAUGCCACACAACAUGAACAGCAAGGAGGGAGCAUUCCAUUCUGAGCAGAGGGACGCGAGGAGGUGGGGCCUGAAAGGACACAGGAGGCACUGACCCCCCGAGGCAAGGGAGAUGUGCCUUCUCUGGGAGACAGCGGCUUGGGAUGGUGGUGGGGCAGGUUCCCCGGGGAAGACCUGGACCAGGGGCUGGGGGUGGGAGUUGGAGAGGAGAGUGCAGUCUUGGGAGCAGAUUUAAAGUUAAGUGGCCUCCAUGGACCCCACAUGGCCCAGUCAGUUUGGACCCUCCUGGGAGAUCCUGAGUUCUGAGCCUAGGCGGUCUUGUCCUGCCUCUGCUGAGCACCCGGGCCAUGGCAGCCAUCAGGAUGCAGGAAGGUGGGGUCCCCUCCCAGCAGCUGGGAAAGCAUGAAGGAAGUUCAUUUCUCUGCAGCAGCUAUAGUGAUCGUGAGGAGAAGUAACUGAAAAGGUCAGACACACACUUCACUUACACAGCUCAUAAGUCAGUAAAGAAGCAAAGCCUGAGACUUCCUCAGGAGGUGAGUAAAUCCUCUGCCUUGCCAAGGCCUGCAAAGCUAGGCUUGGGGCCGGCCAGCCUAGGGGAGUGGCUUCUCCUGCUCUAGCUCCCAGUGCCCUCUGGCUUGGCUUUCUGAAGAGAGGGCUAGAGGAGCUGUGCCUCUAGAGUUCAAAAGAAAAGUACCUUAGGGAGGGAGUAUAGGGUUGCAGUCAAAAGAAUGGGCUCUGGACUCAUAAAAACAUCAGUUCAAAUUCAGACUCAUACCACUUAUUUGCUGUGUGAUUUUGGGCCACUCACACAACCUCUCUGAGCUGUCGUUUCCCCUCCAUACUGUAGGGCUGAUAAUAGUACCCAAACCAUAAGUCAUUGAGAGGAUUCAAUGAAGAUCAUACAAGUAAAAGAGUUAGAUCAAUGCCUAGGUUCCCACUGCAUAUUGGCUGUGGUUGUUAUCUUUAUCAUUUAAAUCAUUUAUUAUUAUUAACACUUUAAUUGUACAGCCUCCAAAAUGACCCCUGUGAUCCCUUCCCCCUGGUAUUCAUGCCUGCUAUUUAACCAGAAUAGGGUUGAUCUGUGUACUAAUAGGAGAUUGUGGGGACAGCAGAAUGUGACUUCCAAGGCUAGGUCCUGAAAGAUGCUGUGACUUUCGCCUGAGUCUCUUGGAUCACUCGCUCUGGGGGAGGACUGCUGUCAUGUCAUGAGGACACUCAGGCAUCCCCAUGGAAAAGUCUGCAUGGUGAGCACCCGAGACCUCCUACCCACAGCCAGCAUUAACUUACCUGCUCUGUGAGUGAGGCAGCUUGGAGGAAGAUCCCCCCACCCCAGAUAACCCCUAAAUGACAGCAGCUCCCACCAACAUCUUCUCUCCAAGCUCAUGAGGGAGUGUGAGUCAGAACCACCUAGCUAAGCUCGUGAAUUCCUGACCUGCAAAAACCGUGCGAGAUCACAAAUGUUCAUUUUUUUUAUUGAAGCCAUUAAGUUUUGGGGUGAUUUGUAAUGCAUAAAUAAUUAAUACAAUUAUUAUACUGAAAAUUUCUCACUAGGAAGUGGCCACUCAUUAGGCAGCCCCAGCCUUCAGGCUCUGUCCAGCCCAGUAAAAGUCAGUCAUUUUUGUGCCAAAGAUCCCUGAAAGAGACAGCAUCAUGUUUGGGUAUCACCUCCUCCAGAGAGCCUUCUUGGCCAAGUCAAGAGCUUUUCUCCAUGUGCCCACAGAAAGGCUCUUUGUAAUCCUCUACCACACUGCAUUGUCAUUCUGGGACCAAUCAUGUUUUCAUCUAGGCUUUGGCUACUAGGAGGCUCAGACCCAAAUUUUCAGGCCACUGCGAAGACUCUCAAUUUAUUCUUGCCCUAGUUUACUCAUCUAUUUGCUUUGUCCUGUUUUGUGUGUCCCUUGUGUAAAUUAUCACACAUCCUUUGUGAAAUGAGGCGGCAUGAAGCAAGUCCUUGCUGAAGGUCCAGGGCAUGGCAAGAGAACCUGAGUUUAAGAAGCAGACAUCACCUGCUGGCAGCAGGCAGUAUCCUCUCAGUCAGCCUUGAUGUCCCCUUCCCUGGAUCCUCACUUCUCAUGGCAAUCUCCCCGUCUCCUCAGGUGGGGAUGGGAUGAACAGGUUUGAUUAGCCCUUCACUGUAAAUGCCUGUCCUCUGUCACUGCACCAGGACUGAUAUGGUUUAGUUGUCCAUGGCUAUCAUCCAAACUUGAAGGUGGCACUUGUAAGGAAAAAACAAACCAACAAGCUAUCCUAAAAGGAGGCUGGCAGCAUGAGGAAGGGGCUUGCCAUCCCCUGUGCCAGUGCGGGAAGACCAGCCCAAGUGCCCACCCCACUGCGGGAGCAGACUCAGCUGUCCCCAAACCUGAAUGCAGGUAACAAGGGCAGCAGCCUGAGCAUCUCAGAGCCCAGAGGCAGAGCGUUAGCCGAUUGCUUCCAGCAUCAUCUGGGGCACAGUGGGGUCUUGGUUCCUCAAUGGGCCUGAGUGGAUCUAACUCUGCGAAGUUAGAUCCCAACAGCCAUCACAGUUUGCAGACAAUGUCAUUAAGACCAUCCAGAUAACUUCCUAACUCCAGUUUUGUGCCCACCAAGCAUCCUUCUGAUUUCAAAUUGGCCUCGCAUGCCAUGUGCAACUGGGAGAGAGUGUGUGGACAGAAAUGGGGCCAAUUGACUAUUUCCCUUGGCUGUCAUAUUUUUCAUUAAUAAACUAACUCUCCAGCCACAAAUACACACUCAGAAUGCCUCUUGCUACUCCAGAUCCUCCAUUCACUGUGAAGGCAAUCAUGGGGAUUAUGAAUUCCAUCUCCCAGGUGUGGAUUAAACUGCAUGCCAGGGGAGGUUUCUGUGGUUCCAAUCUACCCCGCUUAGUACAUCAGAGCUCAACAGGAUCAGGUCAAAGCUGGAAGGAUCCUGAGAGCCCACAGAAAUAAUGACUCCUGUGCUGAGGUUCACAGGAGUAGCACUGGGGUCUGUGAAUUCUUGGCAAAAAUUCAGAAAACCUAAGGGAAUCCAUGCAUUAGCUGAUAAUGAGGCCAUACAGACUAACUAAAGCAUCAGCCACCUCAUUAAACUGGGAAGCUUAAUACUGUUUUUAUUGCACAAUCAUUUCUAAAUGUCUUUUAUUAAUAAAAUUGGGGAAAUGAAUUUGUUAUUCUUUAAUAAGUGCAGUGUGUUUAGCUGACAAAAUUUUUACAAAGAUGGGGAUCAAUGGGUUGCAAGAAUACUAAAAGAUGUUCUUGUUCUGCAGGGUUGGAAGCCCCUAAGCCACCAUGCACUACCCAUCAUUUUACAAAAGAAGGAGAAACUGAGGAACAAAGAAACACAUAUUUUCCCUCAAGCUUCAGAUUCCCUUUAAACUCUUAGGAUAUCCCAUAACCCCCUGUAGCUUAUGGCAGCUAGAUUCAUGACAGACAAUCUCUCUAGAGUCAAUUUGGUUUUUCUCUUAACUCACUCAAGCCUCUGGGAAUGAAAGGUCUAGCCCUUGAAGGCUACUUUUGGUAGAAGACGAGGUUCAGUAUUAAAAAGGAGGACAGAGGAUGGAAAAGAACACAACUACAUCAAUAGUUUCUCCACAUUAUUUGAUGUUCAGAACAGUCCCAUGAAGAAGAUAUAAUAUUCCCUUUCUACAGACCAAAAAAUUAAUAUUUGGAGAGGUAGAAAGACCACCCAAGGGAACACAUAUUUAGACGGAAAGCCCAGUUCUGUCUAGUGUUUAAGUCCUGGCCCAUUCAGCUACUCUGCUCUGUAACUAUCACCCAUUUCAGCACCGCGGACAGAGGCAGAGCCCUCAGUCUUCCCUGUAGGUGGGAUGGAGGCAGAGGGUGGUAAGAUGGGUGCUAAGUCCCAGGGAAGAUAUGUAUCCACCAAAGUGCCUGAAUGAUGAGAGGGAAGUCAGAGCUAAGGAAGGACACAUCAUGGACAUCUCUUUACAUGUGUAUCAAAUUGCGUUCUGUUUAGAACCAUUUUCUAGCCUCCCACCAAGGACGUAAACAGGACAAGCACUGUCAUCUGUAAAGUGCCACUCCCAGACUGCCACCCAGAGUUCAUAAAAGGCUCAGAUGAAUCAAUAGGUGGGAAAGUUAUCUGGAAUUUAUAAAAAUUCACUGUUAAGGAGACGACUAUCACAGACAAACCCCAAAAUCAGCGGUUUAACACAAUAGACAUUUUUUCUGACUUGUGUAAAGCCCCAGACAGGGAUUGCUGCCUGUCAAAAGGCCUGACUGGCACUUGUCUUGAGGCACACUCUGGUGCCCAGGCCCCUUGCUCCUUGUUGCUCUGCCACCUCUGAAGUGGCUUCUAAGGUCACUGUAUUUAUCUGUGUCAAGACAGAGGAAAAAAUCAUGAAUAAAUAAACCCAGGGAGAUUUGUAUGAGCCAAGCCUGAAAUUGGCACACAUCACUUUGGCUCAUACGUGGAGGACUGGGAGUGCAGAAAGAUGAGGAAAUGGGUCUUACUGAACACAGAACCACAGAACUCUGUCUCCCUCCUCUCCAAAGCUGAGAAAUUGCCACAAUCAGAAAGUGUGAUUCCCAUCUGAGAGUUUAAGAGCAGGAAUAGAUUAAAGACAAAUCAUGUAAAAUACCUUGACUCCUAGACUUGCCGAAGCAUUCAGCCUGAGCCAUCUUUACAUGUGGAUAAUCUUGGAUUUCCCAACUGGGCUUCUUGCACACUCCAUGGUAGAACGUCAGAGGAAAUUUUUUUCAAGCAAGAGCUGUUAGAUCAUGAGAUUCCCCAGAAAGAUACAGAUACAGGUAUAUGUCAUAUUACUGGAGAUUCUAAUUCAGCUACCUUCACAGGCCUGGGAAUGUGUUUUUGACACAGGGGCAUUAGGAUUGUUUCAGCUGCAAGUGACAGAAGUCUAGCUCACACGGUCUUAAGCAAGAAAGGAAAUGUAUUGAUUCCUAUAAGUGCACCAGGAUCUAGAUACACUGUCAGGCACAGCUGGAUGCAGACUCCAACAGUCUCAUUGGGAUACCCACCCUCUCCUCCCAUCUCUGACCAUCCCAGGUGGCUCCCUUCAUGGGUCAAAGUGGCCACCAGAAGCUCCAGAUACAUCUUUUUAUCAACAGCCCCAGGAGAACUUCUCUUUCUCAGUAAAAUCCCACAAGGUAUUUUUUGGCACUAAUUGUCUUGGCUUGGUCCCAUUCUUAUCCCUGAACCAACCACUGUGACCAAAAACGUGGUAUUCUCUGAUUAUCCAAGCCUGAUUCACGAGCCCACCCAUGAGUCUGAUAUGAGGUCCAGUCCAUACAAUCUACACAAGCUAGGUCUGGGGCAUGGUGGUGCCCCAAGGACAGCUGGGGUGCCUUUCCUAGAAGAAAGGGGGCAGGGAAUGGGUGCUGGACCAGCAUCAGCAGCAGAAUUCUUAGGCACUAGACUGUGGGGGGCUCAGAGAGGCAUGGGAGCCCUGAGGUCCCCACAAGGUGUGGGAUAGUCUUUCAGACCUUCAGGGGGGGUCUCUGCUCACUAACCUGCUCAAAGCACCCUGGCCCACACCGUGGGCAGCUGGAAGGUGCCAGUCCACUGAACAUGUGUGAUUGGCAUGAAUCUCCUGCUUUCCUUUGUCAGAAGGCUAGGAGUGGAUUUGACCCGUUUACUCAGACCCUCUCAGUGGCCCUGCUCCCACAGGCUCACCCCAGCAGGGCCCAGUGCUUGGCUGCCAAUGACGCCAAGGAUAUUAGCUGACAGUGACUUAAAACAGGGGUUCAUGACCUCAGGGUAACCGAGGAACCCCUGAAUCUGAAUUCAUCAGUCUGUGUAUAUGAAUGUGAGUGCCUCUCCUUUCCCCACAGGAAAAAAUCUACAACUUUCAUCAAAUUACUCAGGGAGACUUUAUUCUAAAGAGACUGAAAACGACCAACAUCAAUUUUGACUCCUAUGGGCAUCUGUAAAUAGCUUCAAGGUUUUAAGGUGAAAUGUCAUGUACCAAAAUACACAUUCUGGAGAAGCAGGAAGCUACAGACCAACUUGAGAUGAAAGUCUCAUAUCAAUGUUUUCCCAAGUGUGCUCCUUGGAAUACAGGUUGACAUGAUAUGAUGCCCAGCAAGGGAAACAAAACAUAUUCAUGUUCAAAUUAGUUGGGGAAAUGCUGGACUAAAUAAGGUUUGAUGGGAUUCUUUUUUCUGCAGGACUUCUCAGAAGGGGCUAGAGUAGGCAAAGUUUCCCAGAUUUACCUAAUAAAAGCAUUGUUUCUGUGGGAGUUUCAUUUGUUAUUACAUGUUUCCUGAAUGCAGAUUCAUAGACUAUCCUUUGGGGAACCCUCGUCCUCACGGGAUGUAUGUUCAUGGUGGUGUCUUCGAGUUUGUGCCCUUGUGAAGCAUUCUGGCAGCAAGCAUCUGAACACUUCCAAAAGGGGGCGAUAUUUAGGAGAAAUCGCUCAGCCUGAGUUAGAACAAAUGCAGCUGCUGGUGUCUCUUGGUGCCUGGGAGCCCUAGAGUGUCAGAGGGAGGAGCGUGCACACUGGAACCAGCAGCCUGGUGCUGCGUCUCAGCUCUGUCGCUAACUGGCUAUGCACCUCUGGGCAUGGCACUUAACCCUUCUGAGCCCCAGCCCGCCAUCUGUAAAAAGGGCUUGAUGUGAGGAUUGAAUGAGAUCAUGCAGGGAACACAAUGUCUGGCACUUGGAAGCGUCCACCAUAAAGAGCCAAGGCAGUAGAUGGCCCAGCUGGGUUUGGUCCAGGCAGAGUUUACCCUCUGCCCUGGAGGCUCCAGGAAAUGCUGCCACGUGGCUCCUAUUGCCUUAACCACAUCCGACCUGUUCCUGACAGCUCCCCACAUCUCCAGCUCCUUUGCUGGUGCUCCAGGCACCUCCAAACGUGGCGAGCCCCUCUCCCCUGCCCUCUUGUGGCAGCUGACCUGGCAGGAGUGGGACCAAGACAUCCAAGGCAGCUCCUUUCCACCUGCAUGGGCACUUUCCUCAGGACAUCCUUGCCCCUGGCACCACCUUGGGCCAGCAAGCCACAUGGAAAUGGAUGCAGAGGCACCACUGUUUGCUGACAAUUAUACACUGUCCUUAAGGUCACCCUUGGCGAUCUGUCACCAGGAGCAGACAAACCCACACCUCAACCAUCCCAUCAGAGCUUGUUUCUAUCUGCAUCUGUCAUCGCUGAUCGCAUUUGAAUGGGUUUAGUCUCUAUUUUAAAUAAAAGAUUUAUGCCUUAGCUGUCAGAGCCUGCCUUUAUUUGAAAAUUUAAUCUUGUUUCUAGGAGUCUAGAUUAACUUAUUAGAUUUAGGCGUCCCUCGUGGGUCUCUGAGAGAGGAGGAGUAGAUUCUCCUCCCUGCAUUCGGCCCUGCACACCCGACAGUGAGAGCCAAGAGCUGGAUGGGCUUCUCCAUCCAGCACGCCCAGGCUGGACAGAGGCCCCCAACUCAGGCAACUUUGUCGGGUAACCGUGUGUCCAGGGAGUGCUUUCUUGCACGCUCCGUCUCCGGGCCAGCUUCCAGGACCUGUGCUCACUGCAAGGGACACCCAUCAAGCCGGCCCUUUCUCAGAGGUUUUGGGGAGGCUUCAGGAAGGACCCCCAGUGGGGGCCCAGCUUGUCAACAUGGGCUGUGCCAAGGAGUUCUGAGUUUCCUUCAGGUCUGUAUUGUAUCUUCCACCCCCUCAGAGCUCCCUCCCUACUGCUUAGACCACACGAAGCUGUGGGGCUGUGGGCAGCCAGUUCACUUCCCUGACCUUGUCUGCAGGUGGAGACAGUGGCAGUGCCCCUCCCGGGCUGCUGCGUCACUCAGUGUAAAAGCAGGGAGGCACUGGAGAGCUGCUGUCUGCAAGUUUGUUGCUACUUCAAAAGGUGCAGGUGGGCCCUCACCUCCUUUAGAGGUGAGGAUGAGCUACCCAAAGUGAAAAGGAGCUUCUCAGCGUCGCAAUGGAGUCACGGCCAGGCUGCCCACACCAGCCGUCCGGACCUGCACCAGUGCCACGGGGUCUGCCCCAUCUUCUCUUCCCUCUCCUUCCCCUCUCCCUCUCUCUCCCUGUCUCUUUCUCCUCUCUCCAUGCUAUUGACUGAAUGUUUGAAUUCCCUGCAAAUGCAUUCCUAACCCCCAAUGUGACUGUGUUUGGAGACAGGGUCUUUAGGAGGUAACUGAGGUUAAAUGAGGUUGUAAAGAUGGGGCCCUGAACCGAUGGGACUGGGGUCCUUAUGAGAAGAGGAAAAGGGGUCCCUCCCCAUGGAGGGACGACCACAGCGAGGCAGCAGCCGCCCACACGCCAGAGAAGGGGACUCAGACGGAAGCCUUGCUUCACCGGCACCUUGAUCUUGACUCCUAGCCUCCAGAAUUGUGAUAAAUAAAUUUCUGUUGCUUAAGCCCC
rnacentral:lncRNA from 1 species